rnacentral:misc_RNA from 1 species
UACGAAGGGUGCUAGUGUUGUUCGGAAUAACUGGGCGUAAAGGGCGUGUAGGCGGUCUUAUGCGUCAGAUGUGAAAGUCCUGGGCUCAACCUGGGGAUUGCAUUUGAUACGGUAAGACUAGAGGUCAUGAGGGGAGAGUGGAAUUGCGCAUGUAGGAGUGAAAUCCGUAGAUAUGCGCAGGAACAUCAGUGGCGAAGGCGACUCUCUGGCAUUGACCUGACGCUAAGGCGCGAAAGCGUGGGGAGCAAACAGG